rnacentral:rRNA from 1 species
AGCAGCCGCGGUAAUUCCAGCUCCAAUAGCGUAUAUUAAAGUUGUUGCAGUUAAAAGCUCGUAGUUGAAUUUCGGGGUCAGUAAGUUGGUCGUGCCACUGGUAUGUACUGGCUUUACUGAUUCCUCCUUCUUGUAGAACCGUAAUGCCAUUAAGUUGGUGUUGCGGGAAAACAGGACUGUUACUUUGAAAAAAUUAGAGUGUUUAAAGCAAGCUAACGCUUGAAUACAUUAGCAUGGAAUAAUGAAAUAGGACGAACGAUCCUAUUUUGUUGGUUUCUAGGAUUGACGUAAUGAUUAAUAGGGAUAGUUGGGGGGCAUUAGUAUUCAAUUGUCAGAGGUGAAAUUCUUGGAUUUAUUGAAGACUAACUACUGCGAAAGCAUUUUGCCAAGGAUGUUUUCAUUAAUCAAGAACGAAAGUUAGGGGAUCGAAGACGAUCAGAUACCGUCGUAGUCUUAACCAUAAACUAUGCCGACUAGGGAUCGGAUGAUGUUAAUUUUUUUAAUGACUCAUUC